GCGGUUGAGAAAUGAUGGUUUGAUAUUUGCUAAAGAAGUUUUUGUAGUGGUAUCGAUCAUUUCGGGUUAGCGCUAUAGAACCAGGUUUAAUCCACCAUUUUCUACAUUUGAAAAUGCCUGUACCAAGUCAGGAAUAUGACAGUUCUUGUCCAUUCGUUUUUGAUGCGUUUUGUUAUUUGAUUUUGCCAUGUGAUUAUGGACUUUCUGAAUUGAUUUUCCUCUAAGUUCAGUAUUUUUGUGAUUUUACUUUUUUCGAACCAUUCUUCUGCAAUUCCACACAAAUAAAAGAGAAGGACAAGAAUUGCCUCCCAUUCUGCCAUUCUCUGAAGGGUAAUGUAGGCAAGAAAACUUGCCCACCAUUGAACCGCAUCAGUAUCGCCAUUAAAAUGUUUUCAGUUUACCAUUAUCUUAGAAUUAGUAAAACCUGG
rnacentral:lncRNA from 1 species